AUACUUACCUGGCAAGGGAGAUACUGUGAUCAAGAAGGCGGUUUACCCAGAGCGAGGCUCAGCCAUUGCACUCCGGCUGUGCUGACCCCUGCGAAUUUCCCAAAUGUGGUAAUCUCGAUUGCAGAAUUUCUGGUAGUGGGGGACUGCGUUCGCGCUCUCCCCUG
rnacentral:snRNA from 1 species